AAUAACAGAGAAAGGAAAAGGAGGAGCGGGUGGCCAAAAGUGGGAGGAGAGAGAGAAAUGUGAUGAUGGUAGUAAGUAUUGGUGGGACCCACGAAAAGAUUUUUUUUUUGGGGUAAAAAGCUUUUUCACCCUGAAUUGUUCACGUGGACUGACUUCUUGUUUGCUAAAGUAUAAUGAUUAUGUUUGAUAUUUUGAUUUUGCAAGAUGAGCUGUCCUAAAUUGUAAGUAGGUGGAUUGGCCUAUUUAAUUGUGUGUGUUGUGUGCACUGCUGCGUAAGAAUACAGAGAAGCAAAUAAGAAAAUUAGAAAAGCCAGAAAGAGUGAGCCGAGAAAAACAGAGAGAGUUUAGGACAGAGGUCCGAGAGUCUGUAGAGGAGGUCUUGGAGUUUGAAGAUUUGAUGAUUCAGUGGAGAAUUAAUCUUUUUCAGUUUUCAGGUACCGAAGAUGAACGGAGAUUGCUAAAUGCGGGCUUAGGAUGAAGAAUCGGCGUUGCAGGAUUUAUUUUAUUUAUUUUGGAGAUUUUUUUGUAUAUUUGAGGAAAUUAACUUUGUAUAAAAGAGGGUAUUUUUUUUUUUAUGAUCUUGGGUAUAUUUCGAUAUAUUUGGAUUUGUAUAAAUUGAGGAUUUUAUUAGAAAAUUCGGGUAGUGACAGUCUCACUCAAAGAGUUAAAACACCUGGCCUCCAAUCCAGUAGAAAAAAAAUUAUCAACUGUCAAUUUCUGGCUAAUUUCUCCAGCCCUUGGAGACACGCUGUGUGGUGGUCAAGAAUGCCAACAAAAGAGACUUAAGGGUGGAGCUGGCAGAGUCUUUGAAAGCAAAGAAUCAAAGAAGAGCAAUGGAACUGUCUUUUCUUUUGUUUGCUUGUUUAGCUUUUGCACUGCUGGUUCGCGCACAAGAUUCAUCAGGUAUAGACCUCUCUCUCUCUCUCUCUCUCACACACACACACACAGCUUCAAUCAUUGAAUCAAUAAAUACUCGCAUUUACAAAUAUUUUUCGACACAUUAAGGACUUCACAACCAUGCUAUCCAUUAGAUGAUGAGUAAAUUUUAUUAGCCAUUUUGUAAAUUUGGAUAAUUAUCAAUAAUUCUUAGAUGAUGUUUGAUAACUCAAUUCAACAUUUAACACAACGGAUUAAAUUAACGAUUAUCUAAUUUUUUAGUGCAAAGUACAAAAAAGACCCUCCACUUGUAGCCAUUUUCAAUAAAUCCCCUUGUCUAUUAUUUUACCAAAGAACCCCAUUUGACUUGUAGCAUAUUUCCAAUAAGUCCCCCAUAUCUAAUUUUUUACCAAAGAACCCCGCUCAACUAUCUGAGGGGAAAAAAAAAAUUGAUAUUUGACCAAAAUGCACUUUUAUUUAAAUCUUAAUUUUUUUGAAUUUCAAAAUUUCAUAUCUCACAAACCGUACAUUUAAGAAUUAUAAAUAAUAUAUGCAUGGAAAGUUUAUGAAAUAAGAAUUCUAGAAAUAUAAGAUUUGUGCAACAAACCUUCAUAACUAGAGAGAAAUAGACAAUCUAAAAAUCUACUCCAACAAUCUUAUUUAAUUUUUAAAAAAUAAAAUACUAAAGAUAUUUGCAAGAAAAUUUUUAGAAUUAUUCAUUUACAUAUGGAGCAGAAUAUAUAAAAAAUUUAACCCCAACAUAGAUCGAUUGUAUGAGAUAUCAUAUUUUCCAUCUAAGUAUUUUCAUUCUUUUAUAGCCUCACCAUUUAAAUAAAAAAAAAUCAAAAUGAAUAUUCGGUCUCUAUUGGGGCUAAUUUUUUUAUAUGUUAUGCUCUAUAUGAAAAUGAAUAAUUCAGAAAUUUUUCUUGCAAAUAACCCAAGUAUUCUUUAAAAAUAAAAUAAAAUAAAAUUGUUGCAAUAGAUUUUUAGAUUAUUUAUUUCUCUCUGGUUAUGAAGUUUUGUUAAACAAAUUUUAUAGUUCUGGAAUCCUUGUUUUAUAAGCUUUCUGUGCAUAUAUUAUUUACAAUAUUUGGAUGUAUGGUUUGUGAGAUAUGAAUUUUUGAAGUUUGAAAAAAUUAAGAUUUAAAUAAAAGGGCAUUUUGGUUCAAAUAUCAACUUUUUUACCCCUUCACAUAGUUAAAGAGGAUUCUUUGGUAAAAAAUUAGACAAGUUGAAUUUAUUAGAAAAAUACUACAAGUCUUGGUAAAGAAUUAGAUGGGGGUUUACUGAAAAAUGUUACAAGUCGAAGAGGGUUUUAUGUACUUUGUCCAAUUUUUUAUAAUGCACAAAACAGUAAGCGCCAUUUGAAAGAGGAUAUAUUUUAAGAAACAUAGAUAUUCAACGCUUUUCUAAUUACAAUUCGAGGGGGGUUUUAUGUACAAGUCGAGCGGGUUUUAAUUGUUUGAUUACUCAAUUCAGCGCUUAAUUCUAAAUGUAUUCAGCACUUAUCCAAUUAAGUGCGUCAGAUAAUACACUUUGAAUAUCGAUGAAAACGGUUAGCGUCACUUAAAAUGCAGUAAAAUUUUAAGUAACAGAGAUAUUACCUAUCACUAAAUGCUGAACGCUGAAAGUUAAAAAAUAUUUCAAAAAAUAUUUGGUUUUUAAUUACCACUUAAGAACUUCAGCGCUUAAAAUUCAACUCUUAAAACUUAAGCUCUUAAAAUUCAGUCUAUGUUUAACGCUGAAAAUUCAAAAAGAUAUCAAAAAAUCUUUAUUUUUUGAUUACCACUUAAAAUCUUCAGCCCAUAAAAAUCAACUUUUAAAACUGUGACUACUUAAUUUUCAAUUUUAUCAAACAGUACCAUAUUUUUCUCGUGAUAAAUAAGUCCUAAAAAGUUUCUUUUAGUACUAAUAAGUCCUACUUUGAGACUUUUUUUUCAUUUAAAUUCUAAUUACUAAAUCUUUCAUCUGUACCUUAAAUUUUUGUUAUUAUAAUUUUAUUGAAGCUAGA